UAGGUAAACAGUGUCGCCAGACAGAC
rnacentral:piRNA from 1 species